AAGAUCUUCCUCUCUCCAACACAACCCGAGCUGACACAUCAACUACUGCAGAUACUACAGUAAAGUGCUCAAACAUUUCAGGAAAACAGAAAAGAGAAAACUAUGGCAAUUCGACAGGAAGCUUUUUAAUCAUUCAAAAAAAUAGGUAAGGACAGUAAAUUUAGUAUACGUGCCCUGUUUAACUUCUUUUGCCGCCUAUAGCGGACGUAGAUUUUUAACUUUCCUAGUUGAUUUAAACUCAAAGCAUGAAUACUACGUAUGCGAAUGUUUACUUAAUGCUAAACUCUGGGCUACAGGAAGUCAGCUACUAAAGAGUAGUUACAUUAGGCGUAGAUAUUUAUAAACCAACUGCAACUAGCGACCCAGGAUUCAAUUACAACAUCAACCCUCAUAUUUCAGCAUAUGGGCAAAUUACCAGUGGGGUCAAGAAUAAAUUCAUUCUGCCGUACUGGCGCUUUAGAUCGGGUUGCACAAUCCCGAGGCAGAACUGCCUUCGCCUAGCCCUAAAGCAUCAGGUACUAAAUACUGUACUAACUUAGCGUCAGGACAUUUUAAAGCGGGAAGGAAACUAAAGGGUCGCCUGAUCCAAUUUAGCCACCCAAUAAUCCCGAAUUCAGUAAUUUGUCACGUCACUUGAGAUCAGAAUGAAAUUAAGUUUUGAUCCCUUUGAGAUCUCUUAGCGCACAAAGUCAGGCUAUCACUACAAGUGGAGUCCCAUCCUGACUGUAGAAAAACUACUUGGUGCGGAACUCGAGUGUCUUCCGCCCACCGUGAGGGACCGCACCGGUCAGGUCCAGCGAAGAGCCUGGCCGCGAGUUUGGGGGCGCAGCCGGGCCCGGCGGGGGCGGCGAGCGCGCGUCCCCCCGCCCGCUCAGGCAGCGUCGAGGCGCGAGCAGCUCAGCCAGCCUUGCAGAGGGAGCUCUCGGCAGCUCUGGGGUCCCUCUGCUCGCAGCCGCAGCAGCGCCGCCUGCGCCACUCGGCGGAGACGGAGACCAGCGGCGGCGGCGCGCGGACUGGGAGCGACCGCGGAGCAGCCAAGCGGCAGGGGUACGCUCGCAGAGCGGCCGGGAUGCACCUGCGGCUUCUACCCAACCAGAGACGAAGUUCACCGACAGCAGACUGGAAGAUUUUCUGGUGACCCAGGGAGGAGCGCCUUUGGUACUUAAGGGAAUCUGACUCAAGACUGUAUUCUGAACUCCCAUACCUUAGAUAUCAUGGAUAACAAUCGGAGCCAGCAUCAACGAGACAGUUUCUGCUCCAUUCAGCUGAUUGUUCCCAUUAUGAGGAUGCCAGCCCAAUAUUGACAGAUAUUCUGGGAGUUUUGUUGAAAAAGGGAAUCAGAAAUCUAGAUUUUUGUAAUGUAAAAUCUUCAGAUAUUUAGGUGGUAGCUACUCAAUCAGGUGUUUUUUAAUUGCAUGAACGGAUUAAACUAUGUAUAUGUGUGUGGGCUUUCACUUGGAGAAAAGAAUGAAGAGAAAUUCCAAGGCCAGAUCCUAGACAUUUUCAGCAUUUAGAAAUAGGAUAAUGGAGAAGAAAACUGAAAGGGGGCAGCCAGGAAGACAGAAAUCCACAAGCGUGUUGAAUUUGGAAUCCAAGGGCAGACAACGUUUAGGUAGGGGGAGUGGUCAGCGGUGUCUAGUGGGGCUGAGAGGUCAACUUGGGCCAGAGACAGGGCUAUUGGAUUGGUCACCUUGGAAUUCAGUGGAGACUAUCAUUGGCGAAUUUGGCUUGAUUCGUGGUGUAAAUCAAGAGAUUUUGACCUCACUAGGAUGGGUUGAGAAUGAAUGGAAAAGUAAGGAAAUAGAGCAUAUGUAGGCAACAUGAGAAGUUUUGCUGUGAAGGGAGCAAACUUUAGGGAUAACUGGAAAGUUAACUUUAGGGAUAACUGUGGAAAGAAGUUUUGCUGUGAAGGGAGCAAAACUUUAGGGAUAACUGUGGAAAGAUCUGGGGUCAAGGGAGGAGAUGUUUUAAAACCUGGCAGGAUUCUGGAGCAUGUUUAUGUGCCAUCAGGUGUGAUACAGGAGAGAGAAGGCUUGCUUGACCUAUAUAGGAGUGAAAUCCAUGACAGGAUAUAAGGAAACUGGGAGGACUGACCUUAGAUAGGAACAGGAUGCUUCCACUAUGAUAAUUAAGGUAAUAAAGGUGAAGAUCAGUGCAAAUGCUGAGGGUGGGAGGAGCAAGCUUACAACUUUCCUAGUAGGACUGCCUACAUUGGGUAUGUAGGACUGGCAAUAUUGGGUAUCCAUUUGAAGUUUGUAAUCAUGAAUUUAAAGUUAAACCAGUUGGGCAAUAUGUGUUUUUUUCCAGCAAUAUUCAGCUGCUUGGGUACAGACAUGCAGAAAAGAGAUCAUUUGGUUUCUCAACACGAGGGCCCAAGUUUUCUGAUUCCUGAUCUCAGGUACUUGCCUUAUUAAUCACUUAAUAUUCUAGAAAUGUGUGACUAUUCGGAAAAUUUACAUGUGAUCCCUUUUUCUAGAAACCAAAUUAUCGCAUUUGUCUCAUAUAUACCAGAGGGCUCAAAAGUAAAGAAAAGGCAAACUUAGGGGAAAUUACUCUGGAAUAUUUGCUUCUUGCAAUUUCUUCAGUGCUCCACCCCAGACACCUCCCGUUGUACCUAGGAACUGUGUACUAGGAACAACAAGGCUGACUUGCGCUUAAAUUCUUAGCUUCUUUUUCUUUCUGGCAUCUUUAAUAAUCUGAUUAAUAAACUUACUAUAAGACUUUACUUCA